rnacentral:tRNA from 1 species
GCUACCCUGGCUCAGAAGGUAGAGCAGCUCACUCGUAAUGAGCAGGUCACCGGUUCGAAUCCGGUGGGUAGCUCCA